rnacentral:tRNA from 2 species
GCCCGGGUGGUGAAAUUGGUAGACACGCACGCUUGAGGGGCGUGUGGCUUAACCGCCGUGCUGGUUCGAGUCCAGUCCCGGGCA